rnacentral:rRNA from 1 species
GUUAGUGGCGAAAGGGUGAGGAAUAGAUAGGAACGUACCCUGUGCUCUGGGAUAGCGUCUGAAGCUUCGGCUUCUUCCGAAAGGGGCGGUAAUACCAGAUAAUGUCCUUCGGGACCAAAGAUUUAUCGGCAUUGGAGCGGCCUAUCUCCUAUCAGCUUGUUGGUGAGGUAACGGCUCACCAAGGCAACGACGGGGAGCGGGACUGAGAGGUUGGCCCGCCACAUCGGGACUGAGACACUGCCCGGACCUCCACGGAGGGCUGCAGUAACGGAUAUUGGGCAAUGGGCGAAAGCCUGACCCAGCAAUGCCGCGUGCAGGAUGAAGCCCCUAGGGGUGUAAACUGCUGUCAGGGGUCAGAAAGCUGGUUUCGGCCAGUUGAUCAACCCCAGAGGAAGUCACGGCUAACUUCGUGCCAGCAGCCGCGGUAAUACGAAGGUGGCAAGCGUUAUUCGGAAUCAUUGGGCUUACGGGGCACGCAGGCGGAACAGUGUGUGUUGUGUGAAAUCCCCCGGCUUAACCGGGGAAUUGCACAGCAAACUGCUGUUCUUGAGGCAGGUAGGGGUGCAUGGAACUCUUGGUGGAGCGGUGGAAUGCGUAGAUAUCAAGAGGAACGCCAGAGGUGAAGACGGUGCACUGGGCCUGUCCUGUCGCUGAGGUGCGAUAGCAUGGUGAGCGAUCGGGAUUAGAUACCUCGGUAGUGCACGCCGUAUCGAUGUCUACUGGGUCGUGGGUGUUCUGACACAUUCUCGGCCGGAGCAAAAGUGUUUAGUAGACCGCCUGGGGAGUACGGCCGCAAGGUUAAAACUCAAAUGAAUUGACGGGGGCUCACACAAGCGGUGGAGCAUGUGGAUUAAUUCGAAGCAACGCGCAGAACCUUACCUGGGUUUGACAUGCUUGUAUGCCUUCUCUGAAAGGAGUUAGGCUGCCUUCGGGUGAAACUUGCACAGGUGCUGCAUGGCUGUCGUCAGCUCGUGUCGUGAGAUGUCGGGUUAAGUCCUUUAACGAGCGAAACCCUUGCCGUUAGUUGCCAGCGAGUAAUGUCGGGGACUCUAACGGGACUGCCGGUGUUAAACCGGAGGAAGGUGGGGAUGACGUCAAGUCCUCAUGGCCUUUAUGCCCAGGGCUUCACACGUGCUACAAUGGCAAUUACAGAGCGACGCGAUACCGCGAGGUGGAGCAAAUCGCAAAAAAAUUGCCUCAGUUCGGAUUGCAGGCUGGCAAUUCGCCUGCAUGAAGUCGGAAUCGCUAGUAAUCGCGUAUCAGCAAUGACGCGGUGAAUGUGUUCCUGAGCCUUGUACACACCGCCCGUCAAGUGAUGGAAGCCGGGAGUACCCGAAGUCGGGUUGCUAACC